rnacentral:rRNA from 1 species
UACGGAGGAGGCAAGCGUUAUCCGGAAUUAUUGGGCGUAAAGCGUCCGCAGGUGGCACCUCAAGUCUGCUGUCAAAGACCGGGGCUUAACCCCAGAAAGGCAGUGGAAACUGAAGUGCUAGAGUGCAGUAGGGGUAGAGGGAAUUCCCGGUGUAGCGGUGAAAUGCGUAGAGAUCGGGAAGAACACCGGUGGCGAAAGCGCCUUGCUGGGUCUGCACUGACACUGAGGGACGAAAGCUAGGGGAGCGAAAGGG